UCGGGAAUUUUGGGCAAUGGGCGAAAGCCUGACCCAGCAACGCCGCGUGAAGGAUGAAAUCUCUCGGGAUGUAAACUUCGCAAGAAUGGGAAGAAUAAGUCGAAGCCAACACCUUCGAUGAUGACGGUACCAUUUGUAAGCUCCGGCUAACUUCGUGCCAGCAGCCGCGGUAAUACGAGGGGAGCAAGCGUUGUUCGGAUUUACUGGGCGUAAAGGGCGCGUAGGCGGCCACGACAAGUCACUUGUGAAAUCUCCGGGCUUAACUCGGAACGGUCAAGUGAUACUGUCGGGCUAGAGUACAGAAGGGGCAACUGGAAUUCUCGGUGUAGCGGUGAAAUGCGUAGAUAUCGAGAGGAACACCUGCGGCGAAGGCGGGUUGCUGGGCUGAUACUGACGCUGAUGCGCGAAAGCCAGGGGAGCGAACGGGAUUAGAUACCCCGGUAGUCCUGGCCUUAAACGAUGAAUGCUUGGUGUCUCGGGUUUUAAAGUCCCGGGGUGCCGUCGCUAACGC
rnacentral:rRNA from 1 species